GACGAACGCUGGCGGCACGCUUAACACAUGCAAGUCGAACGAGAGAAGAGGAGCUUGCUUUUCUGAUCUAGUGGCGGACGGGUGAGUAACACGUGAGCAAUCUGCCUUUCAGAGGGGGAUACCGAUUGGAAACGAUCGUUAAUACCGCAUAACAUAAUUGAACCGCACGAUUUGAUUAUCAAAGAUUUAUCGCUGAAAGAUGAGCUCGCGUCUGAUUAGCUAGUUGGUAAGGUAACGGCUAACCAAGGCGACGAUCAGUAGCCGGACUGAGAGGUUGAUCGGCCACAUUGGGACUGAGACACGGCCCAGACUCCUACGGGAGGCAGCAGUGGGGAAUAUUGCACAAUGGAGGAAACUCUGAUGCAGCGAUGCCGCGUGAGGGAAGAAGGUUUUAGGAUUGUAAACCUCUGUCUUCAGGGACGAAAAAAGACGGUACCUGAGGAGGAAGCUCCGGCUAACUACGUGCCAGCCGCCGCCGUAA
rnacentral:rRNA from 1 species